AGACUCCUUGUGCCCUUCUGAGUCCGCUGUCCCCCUGCCAGUCUGUCUUUGCGUCUCUGGCUCGUGUGGUGUGUCUCUGAGAUGUUAGGGUCCCUGCUGGUCUGUGGAUGUGUUUCAGAGAGAGCAGCCAGGGAAAGAACAGGUCUUCUACUUACACAGCGCCGCAGCCUCUGCCGGAGGGUCUUCAGCUUUUCUCCCAGGGAACUCACAUGCUCCUUGAUUUCUGGGCCAUGGUUCUCAGCCUGGGGCAUCACCUCCUCCAGGUAAAACUGGAUCAUCUCCGACAAGGCCUCGCAACCCAGAUGGACAAACUGAGGCCCAGAGACGAAGGUGACUUUCCCAGGCACCAGGGAUAGUUAAUGGCAAAGGUGGAAUCUGAACCCAAUUCCCUUUGCAUUAUUCUUAAAUCAGUACCCAAUUCAUUAACUCAGAUAAAGAAACUGAAGUCCACAGCUUCUAAGGGACUCGCCCAAGUAGGAAUUGAGCCUUGGUCUCCUGAAACCCAGUUCAUUUCUUUACCCUUAUCACCAUGCUGAGAAGAAAAAUGUGGCUUCAAUAACAUUUAAAAGAUAUAAAAGGAUCACAAGAGUUGUGGUUCUCCCAUCAUCCCAUCCUCUCAGUAUCCUAGAAGAAAACCUGAGCCCUGUGACCUUCCAUGCCAAGGACAGUCAGCCUUUCUCUAUGUGUGGCCUGCCCAGGGACAUGCACAGCAGCCACCUCUGCUACAGCGAAAGGAAGAUACCCCCCCACCUCCCCAAUAGAAAGAGAGAGAGAUAAGAAAACCAAAUCUAGGCAACCAUACAAGAUAAACAACGUCGAGUCUCAAUAUGGUUCAUCGGCAGAAUUUUCCCCAGAGCCAACAGCCCGUGUCAGAGCUAUAUUUUCCACUCCAGCUACUGUGAUUUGGUUGUGGCACCCUUGUUCUCUUUCCUUUCGAUGGAGGCAGACUCUGACGUAGGUUUAGGACUCUGCCAGGUGUCUGGGGGUUUACGAGCCCAUCUUCUAUCUCUGACACCUCAUCCCCUUGGCCCCAACUUCCCCUUCCCUCUCUGACAGGGCCAUAUCAGUUGGAGGUGCUAGAAAGGAGUUAGGGUUUUUGUCAUCUCCAGAAUCCCCUUAAAACAUAUGCCCACAGCUAUAAUGCAGAGCAGGAAAGGCAGAAGGUAAGAUCUUUGAUUUUUCUUAGUACAGAUUCAGGAAGUUUAGGAUGACUUGAUAGAUGAAAUCUGUUGUCUGUCUUUGUCCUUCUCUUCUAUGCUGUUCUCUGUUCUGUGAUGCUGUGGGUGUGAGAGAUUCAUGGGCAGGGGCAUUUUAUCAUCCCAUCUGCUACUCAUGAUAUGAAAGAACAGUGCCCGUCAAAUCCCCCAAUCAUCAGAUCCCAGUCGCAGUGCCAGAAUGACCUCUUCCAUUUCCUCCCUUGGAGGAAAAUUGUCUCAAGGGACAGUUGUAAGACUGCAGAGAGAGAACUAACCAUUGAAAAUGUUCUGUUGAUUAUCAGGACAGGACUGGACAAAUCCGCAGUGGCCCUGCCACCAUGUCAGCUGGGGAGCUCCCUAGGAUUUUGCCUUGGGUUUUCUUCUUCCUGUGCCCAUGGCCAGACCUCCAGUGCCCUCUCAUCAGCUCUCUGGCUCCCAAAACUCCAGUGUGGACUCCUUCACCAAGAACUCCAACCUUCACCGAGAGCUAUCUUCUCUCCUUGAAAAAGCCCCAUUUUCUUAAUAGUGACUGGCUAGCUGGACACUUUUAAAACUAGGCUAUGACUACACACUCUCACCCUCCCAGAAAAAUACCUCUGUUUUUAACUGAUAGCAUCCCAGGCAGAGCAUCUAAAUAAAGUGGCACAUU